GACGAACGCUGGCGGCGUGCCUAAUACAUGCAAGUCGAGCGCUGAAGGUUGGUACUUGUUCCAACUGGAUGAGCAGCGAACGGGUGAGUAACGCGUGGGUAAUCUGCCUUUGAGCGGGGGACAACAUUUGGAAACGAAUGCUAAUACCGCAUAAUAACUUUAAACACAAGUUUUAAGUUUGAAAGAUGCAUUUGCUUCACUCUAAGAUGAUCCCGCGUUGUAUUGGCUAGUUGGUUAGGUAAAGGCUCACCAAGGCGAAGAUUCCUAGCCGACCUGGAAGGGUGGUCGGCCAAAAUGGGACUGAGAAAAGGCCCAAACUACUACGGGGGGCAGCAGGAGGGAAACUUCGGCAAAGGACGAAAGUCUGACCGGACAAAGCCGCGGGAGGGAAGAAGGGUUUCGGAUCGGAAAACUCUGUUGGUAGAGAAGAACGUUGGUGAGAGUGGAAAGCUCAUCAAGUGACGGUAACUACCCAGAAAGGGACGGCUAACUACGUG
rnacentral:rRNA from 1 species